rnacentral:rRNA from 1 species
GGUUAAGUGACUAAGCGUACACGGUGGAUGCCUGGGCAGUCAGAGGCGAUGAAGGACGUACUAACUUGCGAUAAGCGCAGAUAAGGCAGUAAGAGCCGUUUGAGUCUGCGAUUUCCGAAUGGGGAAACCCAACUGCAUAAGCAGUUACUGUUAACUGAAUACAUAGGUUAACAGAGCAAACCGGGGGAACUGAAACAUCUAAGUACCCCGAGGAGAAGAAAUCAACCGAGAUUCCGGUAGUAGCGGCGAGCGAACCUGGAUUAGCCCUUAAGCACUCGGUGAAGUAGGUGAACAAGCUGGAAAGCUUGGCGAUACAGGGUGAUAGCCCCGUAACCGACGCUUCAUCGAGCGUGAAAUCGAGUAGGGCGGGACACGUGAUAUCCUGUCUGAAUAUGGGGGGACCAUCCUCCAAGGCUAAAUACUCCUGACUGACCGAUAGUGAACCAGUACCGUGAGGGAAAGGCGAAAAGAACCCCUGUGAGGGGAGUGAAAUAGAACCUGAAACCGUGUACGUACAAGCAGUAGGAGCACCUUCGUGGUGUGACUGCGUACCUUUUGUAUAAUGGGUCAGCGACUUAUAUUCAGUGGCAAGGUUAACCGUAUAGGGGAGCCGUAGCGAAAGCGAGUCUUAACUGGGCGCUCAGUCUCUGGAUAUAGACCCGAAACCGGGUGAUCUAGCCAUGGGCAGGUUGAAGGUUGAGUAACAUCAACUGGAGGACCGAACCGACUAAUGUUGAAAAAUUAGCGGAUGACUUGUGGCUAGGGGUGAAAGGCCAAUCAAACUCGGAGAUAGCUGGUUCUCCCCGAAAGCUAUUUAGGUAGCGCCUCGGACGAAUACUACUGGGGGUAGAGCACUGUUAAGGCUAGGGGGUCAUCCCGACUUACCAACCCUUUGCAAACUCCGAAUACCAGUAAGUACUAUCCGGGAGACACACGGCGGGUGCUAACGUCCGUCGUGGAGAGGGAAACAACCCAGACCGCCAGCUAAGGUCCCAAAGUAUUGCUAAGUGGGAAACGAUGUGGGAAGGCUCAGACAGCUAGGAUGUUGGCUUAGAAGCAGCCAUCAUUUAAAGAAAGCGUAAUAGCUCACUAGUCGAGUCGGCCUGCGCGGAAGAUGUAACGGGGCUAAGCAAUACACCGAAGCUGCGGCAAUGUCUUUUAGACAUUGGGUAGGGGAGCGUUCUGUAAGCCGUUGAAGGUGAAUCGUAAGGUUUGCUGGAGGUAUCAGAAGUGCGAAUGCUGACAUGAGUAACGACAAAGGGGGUGAAAAACCUCCUCGCCGGAAGACCAAGGGUUCCUGUCCAACGUUAAUCGGGGCAGGGUGAGUCGACCCCUAAGGUGAGGCCGAAAGGCGUAAUCGAUGGGAAACGGGUUAAUAUUCCCGUACUUCUGACUAUUGCGAUGGGGGGACGGAGAAGGCUAGGUGGGCCAGGCGACGGUUGUCCUGGUUCAAGUGCGUAGGCUUGAGAGUUAGGUAAAUCCGGCUCUCUCUAAGGCUGAGACACGACGUCGAGCUACUACGGUAGUGAAGUCAUUGAUGCCAUGCUUCCAGGAAAAGCCUCUAAGCUUCAGAUAGUCAGGAAUCGUACCCCAAACCGACACAGGUGGUCGGGUAGAGAAUACCAAGGCGCUUGAGAGAACUCGGGUGAAGGAACUAGGCAAAAUGGUACCGUAACUUCGGGAGAAGGUACGCUCUUGAUGGUGAAGUCCCUCGCGGAUGGAGCUGACGAGAGUCGCAGAUACCAGGUGGCUGCAACUGUUUAUUAAAAACACAGCACUGUGCAAAAUCGCAAGAUGACGUAUACGGUGUGACGCCUGCCCGGUGCCGGAAGGUUAAUUGAUGGGGUUAGCGCAAGCGAAGCUCUUGAUCGAAGCCCCGGUAAACGGCGGCCGUAACUAUAACGGUCCUAAGGUAGCGAAAUUCCUUGUCGGGUAAGUUCCGACCUGCACGAAUGGCGUAAUGAUGGCCACGCUGUCUCCACCCGAGACUCAGUGAAAUUGAAAUCGCUGUGAAGAUGCAGUGUACCCGCGGCUAGACGGAAAGACCCCGUGAACCUUUACUACAGCUUGGCACUGAACAUUGAACCUACAUGUGUAGGAUAGGUGGGAGGCUAUGAAGACGUGACGCCAGUUGCGUUGGAGCCGUCCUUGAAAUACCACCCUUGUAUGU